UACAUCGUAAAUUUUUUUAUUUGAUAUAGGUAGGUACUCUACAUUCGACGUUUGUCGUCCAGGCAUUCGGUUUCGGGCAUUCAACAUCGCCGCCACCACCGAAACUCCGCUGUACAGAUGUAUGUGUGUUAGUGAGAGUGUUUGACCUUGUGCGCAUGUCUGUAUUUGUUCGCAGUACUUGUCGAUGAGGGUGGUUGAGUGGGCUGACCGAUCGAUGGGUGAGCGGGAAGGUCGGAGGGCAGUUCAGCAAAUAGAAUUUCCGUUCGCCCGAUGCUCCGGUAGGCUCCUGUCCUAAUAGGACUUCGACGCGUAAUCGGUGGUGGAAACCACCACCACCAGUUCGACGCCGAAGAAGCCGCCGCCGCAGCCAGGGCAUAAAAGGGGGUGCGUAGGAGCGCCGAUCGCCAUUUAUGUCUCAACAGUCACCUUUAUUUUCAAGAAUAUUUUUUACACCUCUGCAUCAACAUGAAAUUAUCCAUUGUAAGUUUGUUCGUAAUUAUUAUGGCAGUCACUAUAUAUGUACAGGCGAUGCCGACCUAUGAUGCACCCGACGCGAUUCCGCAAACAACACCAGAAAAAGCACAGCAUCAGCUCCCGCAUAAAGAAGUGAUGGGUGAAAAAUUAAGGAAGAAGAGGUGCAGUUGGUUCUCCGAUCCAACAACAACAACAGCAGGGUACAGCGACCCAAAUUUUGGUCAUCCCCCAAAAGCCUGGGAUCCCGUGGAACCAUUCGAAAAAAACAAUAAAUACUUUGGAACGACACGCAGCCCCCAAUAAGAAGAUAAGAAGAUUACAAACUAAAUAUGUUUACCCUGUUCAAUAUUAAAAUUCUUAACAAAUUCUAAUUUUUUGCCUAAUAUUAAAUUUAGUAUGAAUUACAUUAAUUAAGCAUUACAAAAAUAAAUAAAUAAAUCGAUUAUUAUUAUCUGUA